CAAGUUUCUUGAGUUUUGGUCCGAUAAAAUUGGAACGAUACAGAGAAGAUUAGCAUGGCCCAUGCGCAAGGAUGACAUGCAUAAAUCGAGAAAUAGUCCAAAUUUUU